GCGUAAGGGCAGAGGAGAGGUUCACGCCGGAUCUCGUCAGAUCUCAGAAGCAAAACAGGGUCGGGCCUGGUUAGUACUUGUAUGGGAGACUGCCUGGGAAUACCAGGUGCCCGUAGGCU
rnacentral:rRNA from 1 species